UUCCGAUAUAUGAGAGAGAGGUCCGAGAAAGAGUAGGACCUAAUUUGGGAAAAGCCGUUGAGAAUCCUUAUUUCUUAUUUUAAAUCACAGAACACAAAGAGGAAAUCCUUGGUCUGUUUUCUGUGGCAAAAAGAGGAUAUUAAGAAGGUCCCCUUGCAAAAUCUGCUAAGUUUCGAUGCCGUAAGUUGCGUACAUUUAUCAAUAAGUGUUAUAUGUUAUGCCUUCAGUUUUUUGCAGGGAAAAUAUGCUUUGCAGUGCAACAUUCUUUUUGUUUACAUUUUGUGGGAAGCCUCUCCACCAGACACUUGAUCUGCCACUCUCAUAUAGGACAAUCUUUUUGGGCCCCAGAGAAGAACUGUAAGAAUCAUGGUGGGUCUGAGGUACAGGUAAAACUGUAGGCAUGUGUAUAUAAAAAGUUGAUGACUGAGACCUGUAGUUUUUCAUAACUUAUGAAGAUAUAAGGUAGUAUGAACCUAGUCAAACAGAUGUUGUGAAGAUAUCUAAACUAGGCUAAACACACUCCUGAGAGGAUAAAAAUAGAUGCCCGAGGCAACAUAAGGCAAAGAAGAUUAAAUAGGCAGUGUAGGAGAAAAUCUAAGCCUUCAUCAGAAGCAGAACACUGUUUUGUAGAGGCACCUAUUUCUCUAGAGACUUGCGAAAUAGAUACCUUGGGUUUUGCGGAGCUUUCCUUUUCAACAUAAUUUUGGCAGAGAACUUUGACUGCAACUAAAGUGUCAAAAAAUACUUUGCAAAAAUUGUGCAAGAACGUACAAAAGUCGAAUGGCAAGGACCGGGCUCUUCUUUUUCAACGCCUAAAAAAACAAAAACCAACCAAAAAUAAAGAAAAGCAAAUUGGAUAAUAUCUUGCCACAUCAGAUAAAAGAUAUUAGAGAAAUUGUUUACAAUUUUUAUGUAAUGGAGAAGAAAUUAGUCACGCCCAAAGUAAAGGAUGGUAUGAUGAUACUUCUAAAGGCAUAAAACGGCCAAUUUCAAAAGGCCAACGAUUAAUUAUAAUACAUGCUGGUGGAGAAAGAGGAUUCGUUAACAACGGAUUACUUAUAUUCAAAUCAGGUACUUUUAGUUGCUUUUUGGGUCAUACAUGUAUUUUCGUAUAAAAUAAUAAUUAUAUUUUACUCUUUACUUAGCUGUUGUUACAGGUACAGAAACUGGGGACUAUCACAAAGAUAUGAACGAUAAUCACGAUAAUUUGAUGACCUGGGUUAAAAAGCAAUUACUGCCGAAUUUACCUGUAAGGUCUGUCCUCAUUGUGGACAAUGCUGCAUAUCAUAAUGUCCCUACACAAAAGAAUAUCACAACGGCUUCUAGGAAUGACGAAAUUAAGUCUGGUUGAAUGAAAAUACCAGUGGAUUCCACAAAAACUAAGCCACAGCUCUAUAAUAUUAUCAAAGAAAAUAAAUUUCGUUUUCCGACCAAAUACAAGUUGGAUGACCUGCUAGAGCAACAUGGACACUGUGUGUUACGCUUGCCUCCUUAUCACCCUGAACUAAAUCCCAUUGAAAAAAUAUGGGCUUUAGUUAAAAACUGGGUAGCAGCUCAUAAUACUACAUUCAAACUAGCAGAUACCGAAGCACUGGCAAGGCAAAAAAUCUGUGGAUAAACUAUGUUUUAUAGUAAAUACGGGUUGAUCAUCAGAGCAAAGUGACUACACAGACAGCGGGAGUGACGAAGAUGAAUCGGAAGAUGAUUUAGGAUGCUCGCCUCUUCAGUCGUCUGCAGUAGAAUAAAUAAUAAAGCUAAAAUUUAUUUAAAUAAAUGGCGUUUUACAAAAUUGGAAUG